rnacentral:rRNA from 1 species
CCUACGGGCGGCAGCAGUGGGGGAUAUUGCACAAUGGGGAAAACCCUGAUGCAGCGACGCCGCGUGGGUGAAGAAGCGCCUCGGCGCGUAAAGCCCUGUCAGCAGGGAAGAAAAUGACGGUCCCUGCAGAAGAAGCCCCGGCUAACUACGUGCCAGCAACCGCGGUAAUACGUCGGGGGCACGCGUUCUCCGGAUUUACUGGGUGUAAAGGGGUCGCAGACGGCGAUGCAAGCCAGGAGUGAAAGCCCGGGGCUCAACCCCGGGACUGCUCUUGGAACUGCUUGGCUAGAGUGCAGGAGGGGCAGGCGGAAUUCCUGGUGUAGCGGUGAAAUGCGUAGAUAUAAGGAGGAACACCGGUGGCGAAGGCGGCCUGCUGGACUGCAACUGACGUUGAGGCCCGAAAGCGUGGGGAGCAAACAGGAUUAGAUACCCGUGUAGUC